CAAAUUCUAGAACUCUCCCUAUCUUUCUGAAGCACUGCUCUCUUAGUAUAUCCGUUCUUCUCUAAUUUCAGUUUCUAGGUCUUGUGCAAUUUCGCGAAUUUCAGACUGCUUUGCGAAUUUUUGGUUACUAUUCGGUAAAGAAUAUCUGGUAUUGUGCAAGACUGAAUUUUAGGGAAACAAAUGCUGCUAAAUUUCAUGUCACUCUCUUCAAAUAUCCGCUGCUCAUCAGGUAUCUCUUUUAGGCCUUGUUCUCUGGUGAUACGCUUAUUGCUCAACUUCAGAGUUCUCCUUCGCUUCUUACAAGUAUCAUCUCUCUAUUUUGGAGUGUUUCUCAACUCUCUUAUGUACUUUUUCUGUUCUUCAGGCCGCUUAGUUUAUUUAAUGGUAAAUAUUUUUAGGAUUCUCACCUUAAGGUAUUCUUAAAUUAGAGAUCAAAAUCUAUAGUCUCUAGAUUUCUCAUAUAUGUCUUUAUUGGACACAUGUGACAUGCUAAAUCUUAUCCGAAAGAAUGAAAGUGGACGACCAGCAAUUAAUGGAAGCAUGGGCGGAUUUUUAUUGAGUGAAGCGGUGUCACGUGACACCGCUUCGUCGGAAAAAUUAAGUAAAUAUAUGUGUCAAAAUGAUAUCUGAACAUUAAAUUGUUUGAAAUAAUUUAGGUGACACCACUGGAAACAUAAGCAUUCUCCAGCGCAGUGGUAAAAUCUGCAAUCUUGUUUCAAGAAGAUCCCGAGUUCGAUCCUCUAAGCUGAAUAAUUUUGUUUGUUUUUUUUUUAUUAAUUUUAGCACAUGCCAACAAAUAUUCAUAUCUUUGCACAAAUUACAGACAUUAUGAUGCUCACCUAUACCACUUACAUAUAAACAAUAAUGUGUAAGUGGUAUGAUAUCUUUAGUAUUAUAUGAAUGCGCAUGUGACUGUGACUGUUUUAAACUAUUCUUUGUAUUUAAAGGAGUUACAUUUCCCAUGCACUUGGUGUAUCAUUAUGCUACCAUCAAAACAAGUGAUGUCCGAAAUCUUAGUGGCAUCAAGGAUGUUGCUAUAUUUAUUCCUGUAGAACCAUGCUGGGAUAAGAGUUGCUAAGCUAUCAAUCUUCAAACAACACAUAAAGAGAAACUGGGCAUGCGAAGAAAUACAAGAACUGUGUAAUGUGUCUGUGCAAUAAUCUAGAUGGAACCAUUGCUCAAUGCAAGAUUAAUUAGGUAUGGAGCUUGCUCAAUGCAAGAUUAAUUAGGUAUGGAGCUUGCUUUCAAGAGAAACUGUAGUAAAUGGAGAAUAGAAAGAACUUUCUCUCUUACACAAAUUCUUGAAGAAGUCCGCCCAUGUGUAUUUGGAAGAGCAAACAGCACCAAAGUUGAUCUUAUUGGAGUGGACUAUACAUGUCAUAAUGACCUAACUCGAGCAAACCUCCCACGUGCUGGUGAAAUCAUAUUCUUAAGAUGUUAGGUGUGCUUAGAGGAAGCUGAAGACCUUUUGUUCUUCCAUGUACCAUUGUUUCUUAGCUUUAUUGCAUGUUCUUGGAUUAUAGAAGUAACCAUAGCUGGAUGGGCAAGAAAGUAAAGAACAUCUCAGAAAUGUAUGGAAUAUAAUUCCGACCUGCAUUUUUUAAGUAGUUUUAUGUGCAAUAAAACUUUGUAUUUACCUACCAAAAGAAAAUCAUGAAACUCUUAAGAAUGUGUUGAGCAAGUGAUUAUAUUUUUUCAGGGAA